rnacentral:rRNA from 1 species
AUUGAACGCUGGCGGCAGGCCUAACACAUGCAAGUCGAACGAGUGGCGGACGGGUGAGUAAUGUCUGGGAAAUUGCCUGAUGGAGGGGGAUAACUUCUGGAAACGGUAGCUAAUACCCCAUACCAUCAGAUGUGCCCAGAUGUGAUUUGCUUGUUGGUGGGGUAACGGCUCACCAGGGCCACGAUCCCUAGCUAGUCUGAGAGGAUGACCGGCAAACCUGGAACGGAGAAACGGUCAGGACACGUACGGAGGGAAGCAGUGGGAAAUAUUGGACAAUGGGGGCAGGCCUAAUGAGGCAAUGCCGGGUGUAUGAAGAGGGCCUUGGAGUUGUAAGGUACUUUCAGCGGGAAGGCGUUACCCGCAGAGGAAGCACCGGCUAACUCCGUGCCAGCAGCCGCGGUAAUUC